rnacentral:rRNA from 1 species
AUACGCCUACGGGGGGCAGCAGUGAGGAAUAUUGGUCAAUGGUCGGGAGACUGAACCAGCCAAGCCGCGUGAGGGAUGAAGGUACAGAGUAUCGUAAACCUCUUUUGUCAGGGAACAAAGGCGGGGACGUGUCCCCGGAUGAGUGUACCUGAAGAAAAAGCAUCGGCUAACUCCGUGCCAGCAGCCGCGGUAAUACGGAGGAUGCGAGCGUUAUACGGAUUUAUUGGGUUUAAAGGGUGCGCAGGCGGUCCGGUAAGUCAGCGGUCACAGCCCGGGGCUAA